UACAGAGGGUGCAAGCGUUAAUCGGAUUUACUGGGCGUAAAGGGUGCGUAGGUGGUUACGUAAGUGAGAUGUGAAAUCCCCGGGCUUAACCUGGGAACUGCAUCUUAUACUGCGUAGCUGGAGUACAUGAGAGGGUAGUGGAAUUUCCGGUGUAGCGGUGAAAUGCGUAGAUAUCGGAAGGAACACCAGUGGCGAAGGCGGCUACCUGGCAUGAUACUGACACUGAGGCACGAAAGCGUGGGGAGCAAACAGG
rnacentral:rRNA from 1 species